rnacentral:rRNA from 1 species
GGGGUAGAUACCCUAUUAGAUAACUAGUAUUAAAAUUUAGUAGUAAGUGAAAUUCAUGAAACUAAAAUUAAUUGGCGGCUUUUUAAAUAUUUUAGAGAAAUUUAUUCUGUAAAGGAUUUAACCCCAAAAUCUUACUUUUUUUUGUAUAAUAUAUAUAUAUUAUAUUACAUUUCAUAUACCUCUAUUUUUUGAUUAUUAAAUUAAUUAUAGCAUUUUCUAUGAUUGUUUAGAAGUAUUUUAGGGAAAGGUGUGGAUUAUAAAAAAGAUUGAAAUAAGUUUUAUUAAUUAGUAUUUAAUGAAAUUUAAAUUGAUAGAUUUAAAUUCAAUAAAAUUUAAAAGUAAAAUUAGUGAAAUAGGCUAAUUUGAAUAUAUUUUUAAAAGUGUACAUAUUGCCCGUCACUCUCUUUUUAGAGAUAAGCGAAG